UUCCAUAUCAUCUAGUGGUUAGGACAUUGCGUUGUGGCCGCAAUAACCCAGGUUCGAAUCCUUGUAUGGACA
rnacentral:tRNA from 1 species